AGAGUUUGAUCCUGGCUCAGGACGAACGCUGGCGGCACGCUUAACACAUGCAAGUCGAACGGAGAACAUUGAGUUUGCUUAAUGUUCUUAGUGGCGGACGGGUGAGUAACACGUGAGUAACCUGCCUCUGAGAGUGGGAUAGCUUCUGGAAACGGAUGGUAAUACCGCAUAACAUCAUGGAUUCGCAUGUUUCUGUGAUCAAAGAUUUAUCGCUUAGAGAUGGACUCGCGUCUGAUUAGCUAGUUGGUAAGGUAACGGCUUACCAAGGCGACGAUCAGUAGCCGGACUGAGAGGUUGAUCGGCCACAUUGGGACUGAGACACGGCCCAGACUCCUACGGGAGGCAGCAGUGGGGAAUAUUGCACAAUGGGGGAAACCCUGAUGCAGCGAUGCCGCGUGGAGGAAGAAGGUUUUCGGAUUGUAAACUCCUGUUGAAGAGGACGAUAAUGACGGUACUCUUUUAGAAAGCUCCGGCUAACUACGUGCCAGCAGCCGCGGUAAUACGUAGGGAGCGAGCGUUGUCCGGAAUUACUGGGUGUAAAGGGAGCGUAGGCGGGAUGGCAAGUCAGAUGUGAAAACUAUGGGCUCAACCCAUAGACUGCAUUUGAAACUGUUGUUCUUGAGUGAGGUAGAGGUAAGCGGAAUUCCUGGUGUAGCGGUGAAAUGCGUAGAGAUCAGGAGGAACAUCGGUGGCGAAGGCGGCUUACUGGGCCUUUACUGACGCUGAGGCUCGAAAGCGUGGGGAGCAAACAGGAUUAGAUACCCUGGUAGUCCACGCCGUAAACG
rnacentral:rRNA from 1 species